rnacentral:rRNA from 1 species
CCUACGGGAGGCAGCAGUAGGGAAUCUUUCACAAUGGGCGAAAGCCUGAUGGAGCAACGCCGCGUGCAGGAUGAAGGCCUUCGGGUUGUAAACUGCUUUUAUAAGCGAGAAAUAUGAUGGUAACUUAUGAAUAAGGAUCGGCUAACUACGUGCCAGCCGCCGCGGUCAUACGUAGGAUCCGAGCAUUAUCCGGAGUGACUGGGUGUAAAGAGUGGCGUAGGUGGCAUAAUAAGUAGCUAGUGAAAUCUGGUGGCUCAACCAUUCAGACUAUUAGCUAAACUGUUAAGCUCGAGACCGUUAGGGGUAACUGGAAUUUCUAGUGUAGGAGUGAAAUCCGUAGAUAUUAGAAGGAACACCAAUAGCGUAGGCAGGUUGCUGGGACGGUUCUGACACUAAGGCACGAAAGCGUAGGGAGCAAACGGGAUUAGAUACCCUUGUAGUC